UCAAUUGCCACCGGUGAUCAGAACUCUGAUCUUAUUUCUCAAGGCUGGCUCUAUUGCGUCAAGAAAGGCCAGGCUAGAACACUUAAGCUUCCACACUUUGAUUGGACUGGGUUUGUAACCAAAAUUUCCUCCAACUGUUAUUUGUUGAUUUGAUGUAAUGUUUUUAUCUUGUUACUUUUUUCUUAUAUCUUCUUGCGUUUUUGUAGGCCCCUAAAGCAAUAUCCCAUAUCUACCAAGUGUGUUGUGCCUGCUGAGAUUGAGAAACCUGACUGGGCAAUUGAUGUAAGUGCCGUUACAUUUUGUGAUCUGAAUUUAUUUUUCUGCUGCACUAGUAUCCCACUGCUAGCAAAGUUGAACUCGAGUUAAUUCGACUUUGAUAGUGUAAUAGUUAUUUAGCUACAAAUGGCUUAGUCUCAAGAAUUGUACUUUUAUAUGAGUUGUUA
rnacentral:lncRNA from 1 species